GUCUCUGAGCAGGGUCCUAAUGCUUCAUAUCAAGCGAUUUACUGCAGGCAACUGGGAGCCAGAGAAGGUGGACGAUCCCAUGUCCAUCCCUGCAGAAAUAACCCUCCCAGCCGUAUGUGGGAAGACAGCCCAUGUCCAGUAUGGAGCCAGGGCAAGCUCCCUGGGGAGAAACAACAUGGACAACACACCUGCAAACUCCCCGAAAGGCACCCUUGAUAGACCAGAGACACCAGCCAGACAAUAUCUACAAAUUGUCAAGUGUGAUCUCACAUCUGGGAGACAACAUGUAUACAGGCCACUACAUCAGUGAUGUUUUGGACAGCCGUGGCAGUGGGUGGCUCUGCCUGGAUGACGCACAUGUCUUGAGGACAGAUGAGGCCACUGUGCUGAAGGCGAUUGCACAGACUGCCUACAUCCUGUUCUAUGUCUGCAGGUAAGGCUCUAGGCCACAAAUUUGAGAAGAAUGUCACAAAUGGACUCAAUGACGACAAUGAGUCAUCAAGAAAAAAAAAGUGUUUACCAAAGCUAGAAAGAUGAUUCAUUGACCACGCAUUAAGAGUUAUCCCUUUAACCUGUAAUCCCUCUGUAUGUGUUAUUUUUCAGACAUUGUGUCACACCCUGACCUUAGUAUUCUUUGUUUUCCUUGUUAUUUUGGUUAGGCCAGGGUGUGACAUGGGUGAUGUAUGUGUUUUUGCCUUAUCUAGGUUUUUAAAAAAUGUUUUUGGGGCUGUUUCCUUUCUAGGUAAAUUGUACGUCUAUGGUUGCCUAGAUUGGUUCUCAAUUAUAGGCAGCUGUGUAUCGUUGUCUCUGAUUGGGAACCAUAUUUAGGAAGCCAUAUUCUGUGGGUAUUUUGUGGGUGAUUUUUUAUGUCUAUGUUAGUUUCUUGUGUCAGCACAAUUCUUAUUAUAGCGUCACGGUCGUUAUUUGUUUAUUGUUUUGUAUUCAGUGUUCAGUGCUUUCUUUAAUUAAAACAUCAUC